rnacentral:misc_RNA from 1 species
GAUGGGUUGUUAUGCUUUGGGCAAUGCUGCUGGAACCCUUGAUUCGUUGAACCCAUUAAUCAGAGACCACCAUAUUCUAACCUUUUUGCCCUUUGAAUUCCAGCGUAAUGGAAAGCUAAUUGGGGCGCUUCGGUUUUUGGAUUUGGAUAUGAUCGUCCCAUUAGUCUGGUUACAAGGUAGUGAGGCUUUGCCACUGGCCAGUGUCUUUGCUUGUCUGAUCAGUUAUUUGACACAAACUACCUUGUAACCAGAGAG